GACGAACCGGACAAACGUUAUUCGGAAUUACUGGGCUUAAAGGGUCUGUAGGCGGCCUUGUAAGUCAGGUGUGAAAUCCCUCGGCUCAACCGAGGAAUAGCGCUUGAUACUGCAAGGCUUGAGGGAGACAGGGGUAAGCGGAACUGAUGGUGGAGCGGUGAAAUGCGUUGAUAUCAUCAGGAACACCGGUGGCGAAAGCGGCUUACUGGGUCUCUUCUGACGCUGAGGAACGAAAGCUAGGGGAGCGAACGGG
rnacentral:rRNA from 1 species